CGUGUGCUUACAAGUAGUCAGAGCCCGUUAAUGGGUGAUGGCGUGCCUUUUGUAGAAUGAACCGGCGAGUUACGAUUUGAUGCAAGGUUAAGCAGUAAAUGUGGAGCCGUAGCGAAAGCGAGUCUGAAUAGGGCGUUUAGUAUUUGGUCGUAGACCCGAAACCAGGUGAUCUACCCUUGGUCAGGUUGAAGUUCAGGUAACACUGAAUGGAGGACCGAACCGACUUACGUUGAAAAGUGAGCGGAUGAACUGAGGGUAGCGGAGAAAUUCCAAUCGAACCUGGAGAUAGCUGGUUCUCUCCGAAAUAGCUUUAGGGCUAGCCUCAAGUGAUGAUUAUUGGAGGUAGAGCACUGUUUGGACGAGGGGCCCCUCUCGGGUUACCGAAUUCAGACAAACUCCGAAUGCCAAUUAAUUUAACUUGGGAGUCAGAACAUGGGUGAUAAGGUCCGUGUUCGAAAGGGAAACAGCCCAGACCACCAGCUAAGGUCCCAAAAUAUAUGUUAAGUGGAAAAGGAUGUGGCGUUGCCCAGACAACUAGGAUGUUGGCUUAGAAGCAGCCAUCAUUUAAAGAGUGCGUAAUAGCUCACUAGUCGAGUGACACUGCGCCGAAAAUGUACCGGGGCUAAACAUAUUACCGAAGCUGUGGAUUGUCCUUUGGACAAUGGUAGGAGAGCGUUCUAAGGGCGUUGAAGCAUGAUCGUAAGGACAUGUGGAGCGCUUAGAAGUGAGAAUGCCGGUGUG
rnacentral:rRNA from 1 species